CCCACGGCAUGCUAGAAACCAGGUGAAAGAAUGCAGCCUCAUAUUCCCAUGCGUCUAUUUUAUUUUCAUGACAUAGACGCCACCUCGAGACGCAUCUGCCCAUGAUUUAGAAGGGACAAGAGAGACCAGUUCUGCUCCCAAGUACAGUCGUGGAAGGGUUUGGACUGCCUCUGCCCAUGCAAAUGUUGUCUCGCCUGGCUGACUGCUGGCUUGAUGGAUACGGAUGGGUGAGGUGCAAGGCGUCGUUUCUGCAUUCUUGACUUCCUUCCUCCACAGUAACUUAGAUAUUUUGAUGUCAUGCAAGAUUCGGCAUCAUGCACACCCUCUUGCCAACUCGCUCGUUCUCCCUCCUUUCCUCUCAAACGACGACGGUUUGUCCAUCGUGUUGCUCUUUAACAGGUGAAGUCCGUCUCUAAAGCCUUGGAAGCCGAGGAUGGCCCAGAUCCCGCAAAGGCUCAGCCAAGAAAUGCAGCCUUUCACCAGUUUCUCAGCAAGUGUUUCCCCAGUAAAGGGCGUCGUCUCCUGCUGUUUAAGACCGACGAGCCCGGGCCUCCUUCAGGGGACUGAAGAAAAGGGGAAUCAAGCUGUACCUUUAAUUCCACGAAUGCUGUCGUUUGAGAUGGAGUGAUUUAGGGCCUCGCUACCAGGGAUGGUUUCAAGGACAAAUGCUGAUAAACCAAAUGGAAUAUAAACCAAAGGUUUGCAGUACUUUCUUUAAAGCAAAUAUGAUAUCGAUGAGAGUGUUUCUGCUGACAGAUGAAUCGGAACCUUCUUAGUAGCUGAAGUAAAAUUAAUUUCUUUCAUAUGAAAUACCCUUCAUAUCUGCUUUUGUAUGAAUUUAUAUUUAGUAAAGAUCUUAUUCUACCCUGACGGAUAAGAGAAAUAUGACUUCUGCUGAGGUUUCAUGACCAUGGCAGCUGCAGCAUAUUUUUCUUUAAUAAAGCUUUGUAGAGAGAUUGUCAUUGAAAUCUCAUGCAUUUUUGGUUACUCUUCAGUCUUGUCUUAGAAAAUGCUAAGAAUAGCAGUAGAAAUAUCAUUCAAUGAAAAUGCAAAGUACUUUUUAAAAGGGUGUCAACAUAAUAAUAUUCGGGGAGUUUAUUAAAAUUGUUGUACUGUCUUAGGUUUUACACAUAAGAUCUGUGCUGCUUUACUUUCAGAAGUGUCCAUGUGGCUCCAAGGACUUGCUGGAUGGUUAUUCAAUAGUUUGAGAGCACAAAAAUCCAAGAAUAGAAACUAGGAGUCUGCAUAGACAAACCCUGGAAAGUUCGACCUUGUUGAGACAAGUCACAGUUCUUUUCUUUGAGAAAAAAUGCACAGCCACUACCCCAGGGACAUUUAGUUUGGCUGACAUUAUUUAUGAUGGAUCAGAGAACAGAGUACGCUGGAUGGGAAAUCUCUGCUGGACAAGAGUGCCGAGGGAGUUCCUGUCGCGGCUCCGUGGUCCCGAACCUGACUAGCAUCCAGGAGGAUGCGGGUUUGAUCCCUGGCCUCGCUCGGUGGGUUAGGGAUCCGGUGUUGUCGUAGGCUGUGGCGUAGGCUGGCAACUGCAGCUCCGACUCGACCUCUAGCCUGGGAACCUCCAUGUGCCACAGGUGCAGCCCUAAAGAAAUAGAAAAGAAAAGAGUGCUGAGUCACAUUGUCCCAUUUGUAGGUUGUGGGACGGAGGCAGGAGUUGGAGAUGGGGAGAGACAUGUCAUUCUCUCCCUUGCUUUUUGAGCUAGAAUCCUCCCUGCAUUGCUAGGUCCGCCAGAUGGGCUGAAGGCGAAACGCAAUCCCGAAGUGUUUUAUCGCCUUUCCUCUUCUGAGCCCUAGAAGGGUCGUUUAGAACAAACGCAGCCUGUGGAGGGACAAAACUCAUCUGCAGCAGAGGGAGCUGACGAUCCAGAUUAACCGUCACCAACUCCGUGUGACAGCGAUGGGUCUGGGACAUUUCUUCUAGUUGAUGGUGAGGGGGAAGAGGAGAGGUUAUGUCCAUUAUUGCUGUGAAUCCGGGUAGAGUUUCCAAAAGUGCUGUCAAAGGGGCCCCCAAGCGCCUUGGCAUCCGGUGCUUCAAGGUGGGUUGUCUGGCUGGAAAGAAUCAGCCAGCUCUCAGAGCGUCAUCCUCCAGGCAGGGAUAAGAAGGUGGGUCUCAGGACAUCCAGAGCAGCCUGGCAGGUCCCCAGCUGCAUACCUCGGAGCAGAGUCCUAGUAGGGUUCCCAGGGAAUGAGGGCACCGCCCCUCUCAGUGAACAGCAGCCGGCACUCGCCCUGGGAAUAGACUGGUCCUGCCUCUGCAGAGUCGGACACGAGACGGGACAGGAGACCCCCAGCCCGGGAGUCCUUCUGCUGCAGCUUUGGCCGCCUUUAGCGGAGCAUGCGUUUGAAAGCUGAGAAGAGCUGCGGUAUCACUGAAUAAUAAAUGCAUUCAGUGGGACAAUUAAGUCAUUUAAAGAAAUAGAGAAACUGCCACCUAUCUAUGUAGGACUGUUAGACCAUUUCGGAUGCCACUGCUAAACUGAUGAUAAAAAAUGUGUUAGUUAUUUAAAUAAAUAUAUGGCUUGACAGU
rnacentral:lncRNA from 1 species